rnacentral:sRNA from 1 species
GCAUGUCCAGAGGGUUGAGCCCUACUCAGCCUCAUCUGGGUACUGACUGGGGGCCAGGACUCAGGUCCAGCCAGUUUCACAGCAGAGCCUGUGCUCUUGGCCAUGAUGAUAAUGGCACUUUCCCACCCAGUCCUUUUUUUUUUCAAAUUUAUUUAUUUUGAGUGCUGCAUUCUCUGCCUUUUAUAGUUAAGAAUGUUUUCAAGGUCUGGUGGGAGGUUUUCGUGUUUUGCAUCCAUGAAUGCAGUCAGUGUUUGCCUGUAAAUAGGGAGGGUCAAUUCUCUUGGGCUCCUCUGCUGUGCACCUCAUUGCCCAUAGAAUGCUCCUCUCGGAUCUUGCACUAGAGCACUGGAUGAUGAAGUGAAGCCUUGCAGAGACCUGUGAGUCUGGGGGAGGAAACCAAGACUCCAGGGUGGAGUGAUUGGCUGUAUGUUUCACCUGCAGCCAAGCGAGGCCCAGAAGUCUUCCAGUGCUUUGGAGGUUCACAAGAAAUAUGGUGACUCAACUGGAACCACAUUAGAGGAGGCCCAGAAGAUUAACAAUGGCUCAAGCCAGGCGGAUGGCACUCUCAAACCAGUGGAUGAAAAAGAGGAGGCAGUGGCCGCCGAGGUCGGCUGGAUGACCUCCGUGAAGGACUGGGCGGGGGUGAUGAUAUCCGCCCAGACACUGACUGGCAGAGUCCUGGUUGUCUUAGUCUUUGCUCUCAGCAUCGGUGCACUUGUAAUAUACUUCAUAGAUUCGUCAAAGUGAGUAUUCAAAUAUACUUUCUUGCCCUCGUUUCAUAAACAAUCAUGAGCCUUUACAUUGAUCCAUUUAUUUACCUUGACACCAACCUUUGCAAGACCUUCUGAGUGCAGAAGAUUUUGGAGGAAGCUAGGGCUGUACUGUACUGAUUUUCUAAAUGGGAAAGAAAGUUCUCAGAAGGAAGGCUAUUUUGAGUCUGCUGGCAUAGGAGGGUGAGGUAUAUGAGGUCAAGUCUUCUUGCUGGGUAUUACUUAUUUUUAAAGAGCUGUUUCCUGAUGAUGUAUUUGCACUGAAGAUGUCAAGUAGUUAAGAUGACUUGAUGGGAAUUUGCAACUUCUGGGAGGGUGACAGUUUCCCCCAGAUGAGGGUCUGAGCCAUUCUUGCUAUGGUUGUAGGAUCCUUUUCUCAAUUGGGUUUCCAGUGCUUUGAUCUUACUGGAGGUCAGAUUAGAAAGCAUGGUGCUAUCCUUUCACCUGCCAAUCGGGUAUUCAGCUGAAGCAUUGCACGCUGGUGCUUCUUGACUUGUGAAGGUAAGGAGAUGGAUGGAGGAGUUCAUCAUGACCCCCAGAGGUGGAGGCCCUGGCCAUUUGAGGACUUCUAGAGUGGACACUCAUGCAGACUCCUUGGGUGCCAGCCGAAUGGACUGGUGCUCCAGAGUGAGCCUGGUGACAGAUGAUAAAGACCUUGCAGAAGGAUGAAGAGGGCACAGACUAGAACUGCAACGUUGCAGCCAGUUCUGCCCUGAUUCCUGCAGGUGCCAACCCUGAGGAAAUAAUUUGUUCCAACUAUACUAUUGCAAUCAUGAAGUUGAUGGCAUCUGGGAAACAAGCUGGAAUCUAACUCAUUUUCUGUUGUGGCGUGAACUUGGCAACUCUGGUGACAAUGGCCUUGAGCUUGUUGCCUUUAUUGUCCACUGUGUGAGUGUUUUGAACUUUAAACUCUAUCCCUGGCAUGGUUGGCUACUAGACUUUGAUACUAGGAAACUUGCUUGGUGUGCCUGUUGGCUCAGACUCUGGUGUGCCUGAAUUCUGAGCUUAGCACUCCUUUCCUGUGGCUUGGGAUGGUGGUAAUUUCAUGCACAGCUAAACUCAGAAUUUCUCAGAGCCAUCUGGUCACCGGCCAAGGAUUUUGUGCAUUUGGGUGGAGAGGCCAAAAUGUCAGUCAGGGAAAACAAAGCAAAUAUCUCCUUUAAUAACCUGUCUCUGGGAAUCAGCCGAGUUCAAGCCUAUCAGAGGUCCUUCAGCCCACCCCACAUGCGAGGCUGGGCUGCCCUCACCCAUCUCAGAUGGAGAGUCCUUUAAACGCUGUCAGGAGACAAGAUUCCACAUGCUCCCUCCAUCAGCUCUCCCGAGCCAAGAAAGAGAAGAGCUUGUUUAAGUUUGGAAGACUCCCAUUGGCAUGUCAUUGAAGGUAAGCCCCCUUUUAAAUAUUUACUCUUAAUGAUUCUGGACCCUAUUUGUAUUGAACUGAAGAUCCUCUAAAGCCCCUGGUCUUAUUUCUCCAAUCUCUCUCCAGGGGUGUUCUUACAUGUCGUGGGGUGCAGACCCUGCCAACUUCCAUGCUGAGACUCAGGAAAGAGGUUUGGGCUUGAAGCUUGUGUGUCCCAGAGAAAGAAAACCCUAAUGUGGAGGUGAGUGUGUUGAUGGGUUAGAAGUCCAGAUGCCUCAGCCAGCACCUUCCUUCCCUUUUCGUUUUUUUUUUUAUUUUUAUUUUUUAACCUUUUGUCCCUCUGUAUUUCUCAGAAAUAAAAUGCUCUUUAGAUGG